rnacentral:tRNA from 1 species
GCGAGGGUAGCGAAGCCUGGUCAAUUGAAAAUCGAGGAUUUUCAAAGCGUCUUUAAAAUCUUCGAUUUUAGACCAAACGCGCAGGACUUAAGAUCCUGUUCCUUAGUGGAUUCGUGGGUUCGAAUCCCAUCCCUCGCA